GAUGAACGCUGGCGGCGUGCCUAAUACAUGCAAGUCGAGCGAACGGAUAAGGAGCUUGCUCCUUUGAAGUUAGCGGCGGACGGGUGAGUAACACGUGGGUAACCUACCUAUAAGACUGGAAUAACUUCGGGAAACCGGAGCUAAUGCCGGAUAACAUUUGGAACUGCAUGGUUCUAAAGUAAACGCUGGUUUUGCUAUCACUUAUAUAUUGAACCGCGCCGUAAUAGCUAGGUGGUAAGGUAACGGCUUACCAAGGCAACGAUACGUAGCCGACCUGGGAGGGUGAUCGGACACCCUGGAACUGAGACACGGUCCAGACGCCGAUGGGAGGCAGCAGUAGGGAAUCUUCCGCAAUGGACGAAAGUCUGACGGAGCAACGCCGCGUGAGUGAUGAAGGUUUUCGGAUCGUAAAACUCUGUUAUUAGGGAAGAACAAAUGUGUAAGUAACUGUGCACAUCUUGACGGUACCUAAUCAGAAAGCCACGGCUAACUACGUGCCAGCAGCCGCGGUAA
rnacentral:rRNA from 1 species